UACGUAGGGACCAAGCGUUGUUCGGAUUUACUGGGCGUAAAGGGCGCGUAGGUGGCCCGGUCAGUUCGUGGUGAAAGCGCGGGGCUCAACCCUGCGUCGGCCAUGAAUACUGCCGCGGCUGGAGCACUGUAGAGGCAGGCGGAAUUCCGGGUGUAGCGGUGGAAUGCGUAGAGAUCCGGAAGAACACCGGUGGCGAAGGCGGCCUGCUGGGCAGUUGCUGACACUGAGGCGCGACAGCGUGGGGAGCAAACAGG
rnacentral:rRNA from 1 species